GAUGAACGCUGGCGGCGUGCUUAACACAUGCAAGUCGAACGAUGAUGCCAGCUUGCUGGUGGAUUAGUGGCGGACGGGUGAGUAACACGUGAGUAACCUGCCCUUAACUCUGGGAUAAGCCUGGGAAACUGGGUCUAAUACCGGAUAUGACUCCUCAUCGCAUGGUGGGGGGUGGAAAGCUUUUUGUGGUUUUGGAUGGACUCGCGGCCUAUCAGCUUGUUGGUGAGGUAAUGGCUCACCAAGGCGACGACGGGUAGCCGGCCUGAGAGGGCGACCGGCCACACUGGGACUGAGACACGGCCCAGACUCCUACGGGAGGCAGCAGUGGGGAAUAUUGCACAAUGGGCGCAAGCCUGAUGCAGCGACGCCGCGUGAGGGAUGACGGCCUUCGGGUUGUAAACCUCUUUCAGUAGGGAAGAAGCGAAAGUG
rnacentral:rRNA from 1 species